GUAAUGGAAGGGCUUUGAUUCGACAAAGAGGCACAUAACAAAGGAGGAGAUGCUAUUAAUCACUGGAGAUUAUAUAAAUCCUAGAAUUCUUACAUGUGAAUGGUUUAGCAGAAAAACAUACACAGGUUUUUCAUUAGCAUUUGCUUUAUUUAUCAAAUUCCUGAAAUAAAGCCUAACAGAUGUGACUGUGUUUGCAGAUCAGGCAGCACAUAUUAAUGGGGAAAGAGACUUGAUAUUUAAUUGAAGCAUGUGGGACAACAGCAAUGACACCUGACACCUGGGGAUACCUGCCACAGUUUGGACUAUGUGCUGCCACUGAUUGUUUUCCUUUGACUUCGCUGAUGAUGAUGAUUUAUCAGAUAUUUUUCCCCAAUAUAAAGAGCAAACAAACCCACAUGCAUCAGUGUGCAGCUGAGCAAUGGAUUGAGUCCCCUUGAAUUCAGAACUGUUUUUCCUCAUAAGGCUUGCUUUCCAGACACUUGAAUCCCUCAAUGCCAAGGUUUGGGUGAAUUCAGACAGGAAGGGAAAACACACACACACACACCAAACAACACGUGUGAGGCCUUUUCCAGCACUAAUAGGGGGUAAGUGGAUCCUGUGACUCCACAGCUGAAGGAGGUCUUCAAGAUUAUAAGAGCACUCAGGUAAGUUCUGAGUGGUGCCAUUUGUCCACAGAGCAUUGUGAAAAGAUGUUAUAUGAAGCCGCCAUACACUGAAUUGAGCCAUCUUGGAAUGCAGGGAAGCUGCAUUAUAUUAGAUCAGGCUGUUUGUCCAACAGUCUGUUCUGACAAGCAAUGUCUCUCCAUCAUCUUGGGGAAGCCCUACCACCUACGACCUAUCAUUUUAAGUGGAGAUGCUAAGGACUGAAAAUCGGACAUUCUGCAUGCAAAUUAUGGGCUCUGCCACUUAGCUAGGGUCCAUCUGCAUCCAACCCAUCACCAUAUAUUCUGGCAAUGGUUGGUCACUGUGGGAUACAGGAUACUGGCCUUGGGAGGGACUUUGGCUAAUACUGCAGAGCUUCUCUUAUGUUCUUGGUACCCCUUCCCCCUCCCCCCUUUGCAUCAGGGCUUGCUGUGGUGCAAAGAAUUGGGCCACUGUCCCAUAUGGAUGGCUUUGGGGUUGUUGCUCGUCUAAUAAUCAGAAGCCAUAUUUGGAAAACCGAUGCUUUACUCCUUGCAUUGACAUAUGUUGGGAAGCAAAAACAGGCAGGACUCUUGAGUGUUGUUCAACACUAGGUGCAUGAAACCUGAAGACAUAGUAGCUCCCCCCCAGGGGAUUGACACAUUUCAGAGUAGUAGACCCAGGAGUUUCUGUGCUAGCCCCCUUGCAAGUUUUUGUUUUUCAAAAUGUUUUCAAAAGUAAAAAGUAAUAGCCAUGAUGGAAUUCUAAGAGCUUAGGUAGACAGGUAUUUUUAAAAUAGUAGACUCAAGCUUAUUGCAUCAUCAUGCUGCUAAUGCUAACUUCUUUAGCAUUUGUGUGUUGCCUGUGUGCACAAUAUACUGGAUUGUGUAUAAAAUGUACUAGUCUUUGGGGGACAGAACUAUCAGCAUUUAGAAGGGGGAAAAAACUGUUGAAAGCUACUUAGAGCCUAUAGGAUAAAGGGAUAUAAAAUACAUCUAUCUAUCAAUGAAGCUAUCAGAUAAUUAAUAUUGCGGAGAUUCUCAUUAGUAUUCUGCCAUUCAAAGUACUGUAAUAUAAAAAUUAAUAUAAAUCAAUAUAAAGAAACAAAUACAGUCUUCUGAAGCUGAAGGUUGAACAGUCCUUAGUGGGACUACUCUAAAUUAGUUGCAGCAGAUAGACAGCUACAGCUUUCAAAAUCUGCAUCCUUCUGAAAAUCCUGCAAUGCUUGGUUCCAUAUCCCAAGCAAAUGAAAACUCCCCCACUUCCCCUUUUUAAAAGUGACUUCAAGUAUAUUUAUUGCUUGGAGGUGACCAUUAAUUUUGCAUUGUGGAGCACGUUACAUUUCUCCUGUGUGCACUAUUGCUCUCAGAUCAUUUCCAGUUCUUUUGCACUCGUUCCAUUUGGUUUUGCUGUGGUCUGCAUUCCGAAGAUUAAUAAAAAAAUAUAUUCUGCUACCUCUUCAGUCUGAGCCUUCCUUCUGAAUUGAUGACCUUGAUGUAUUAGUCAAAGCUCAAAUAUAAAUCCUUUUCUUUUUUUUUGCAGAAUGGGACCUACAUGGCAUCCCUGGAUGUUCUUGUGAUAUAUAAUUUUUCCCUCCAACAAGGUGAAACUCAUGCAUAUGAAAGAGGAAUACAACAGUUCUCACCGUCUGGUAUGGAGAACCAUUUGGAGAGAGAAGACCCAAGGCAAAUGUCAAUCCUGAUGGUAAUUUCUGCUUAAGUUCUACAAGCAGAAAACAAUACAAGUGCCAAGAUUGCCAUUUAUGUGACUUCUGAGGUGGAAUAUGGAAUGACUAUGUACAUGGAAAUGAGUGGUUGAGUUCUACUGUCUUGCAUAGAGCAACUCAGCUCUGACUUGCUGAAAAUUAAUAUUUCCAUGACAGAUGGUACAUUGUUCCUCUAUUUUCCAAAACUGGAUUCAGCUCUAUGCUAGAAAUUCCUUCCAUAGAGGGUGCCCAUUGAACACUAAAUAUUACUCUGUUUCAUUUUCUGUUUGUUUCUUUUUUUACACUACACAUGCUGGGAUCUUAAAAAGUACUCCGUUGUGCAGGAAUGGCAUUUGUUUUCUCAUCACAUAAUGGGAAGCAAUUGUUAUGUUCUUAGGACUUAAAAUGAAACCGGAGAAUCAGCUUCAGAAACACAAUAACCUGGAAACUUGGGUCCUACAGACCUUUCAUUUUACAUCUUCUCCAUCAUGGGACAUCCAUGCCAGGGAAUGUUGCAGUCUCUUUGCCAAAUGGGGGUUUAUUCUGUUUGGGGCCACUCCGGCCACUGCCAUUAGGUGAGUCAGGAUGGAUUCUAGCAUGAUGAGAUUUCCUUCCAUGUCCUGACCUAUGUCCUGCCAUGGGGUGGGGAACAUGAGCAAGAAGCCACAACCUGCAUUGUAUUGCAAGGAUGGAAAGCAGGUAAGGAUGCAGUUGAAGGUGAUGAGGAGAGAGCUGUGCGACCAAGAGGCAAACCUUCCCCUUCCCUCUGUCUUUUCUCUCAUGUAUCCUGAAAUAAAGAGAACAAAAUGGGGGACAAAUCUCUUCUGCCCGGGGGCAGCACUGCAAUAAAUGCACUUCGGGACAUACUCUUUAAAAUAUAUUAGGUGUGUGCACCUAAAACUGCACUGCAGAAAUGAAGCAGCCUUCCAUUAAUGGCUCCUUUGGCCACGUCACAGCAGCUCCUUUGCCUCAGACCUUGAAGCAGGUGGGAACACCUGCCCUGAGAGGAAGCGUUUGCAGCUCAAGCUCUUUCUGAUAAGAGGGUAAGAAGAGAUUUAUAAAUGUAUUAUACAUACACAUAACAAAGUACUCCAUGAGCUGUUACUUUUAUCUUUUGUUGGACAAGUGAUCCUGACAGACAGGUCUAUUAUUCUUAUCUGAAAAUGCUUCUUCCAUUCUCACUCUCCCAACACCUCACAGUGCAGCCACAGAUUUUAAUGGAUUUGGAACUGGUAGCUGACUCAGGUCAGCUAGAAGGCCAGGAUGUCAGUGAAAAACAAGUGCAAAUGGUGGGGAGAGAAGGGGGGAAGAUAGAGAGCUGGAGAGAGAGAGAGCACAAAAAAAGACACUGGGCUCAGAUAUACAGGCAAAAGGAUCCCCCAUCACGAGCAGAGGAUGCCGACAAGUUCCUUCUAACUAUGUUGCAUUCGGCCACAAUGAAGCCUACAAAUUACAUUUGCUGUUUCACAUAAAGUCAAUUCUAAUCUUGAGCAAAAGAUGAUGCCCAACUCACCCAUGCUUGAAAUCAGCAUUUAUGUUAAAUCAUUGACUUGAGACUGUACUUCCUUCCACUGUUUGCGCUCUACUCUUGUAUAAGCAAUGAAGAUAUUAAUUAGUGCCCUUGGCAUAGCAGACCGAUCUUUAAAUGGGCACGGGGGGGGGGGAGGGGAAACAGGACUAUUUGCUGCCACCUCAUAAAAUGAUAGGGGUCACUAGUGAUGCAGGAAGACUCCCUGAGGAAGGUAUUUUUACAGUACAGCUCUUGACUGGACAUGUUGGCCUUGUAGUGCCAUCAUUGCUAAAAUAGUCUUCAGCAAAGCAACUAAACCAAAUCUCUCCCCAUCACCUUACACAGUCAAAGUUAUCGCCACAGAGAGCUAUGGAGUGGAAUGGAAGGAAACUUUGGCCAAGGAGUUUUGGCCUGUGGUUUAUUUUAUUUAUUUUUAUUUAUUGAAUUAGUUAGACGCUUUCUCUUGCCCAAGGCAACCCAACGCAACUUACAAGCAAACAGACAGAACUAUAAACAGGGCUGAGGACUUAUCCACACACCUGUUUGCCCAACCGCUUUUUCCUGGGGAAACCUGAUCUUUAGUGCUGAAUUGGAACAAGCAGCAAUCAGGUUUUCUGAAGGUUGUCAUUUGUUCCAAUUUAGCACUAAAGAAUAGGUUUCCUUGCUUCUAUAGGUAGCUAUAAAAUCAUUUCUUUCCUCUUUUGUUAAUGUUUAGAAGAAGCUGCUAUAUAGCUGUAACAUAGCAAAGCUUUCGAUUAGUUUGGACUUGUGGGAGGUCUAGGCAGUAAAUCAAAGCAGAGUUGAAAAAUGAUUAACAUUAUUGCUAGCUUUGCAUGCCAUACUUACCAUUUGUAAUAGUAAUUUUAUCUGUUGCUUCAAUAUUUUCAAUAUUUUCCUUCUAAUUAAUUAAGCUUAAUUAAUCCCAGUUUACCAUGCUGUAGUCUUGGCAUAGAUUAGCUACUCCAAUUUGUGGUUUAAGAUUGCAUAUUCAUAUUCUAUUUUGUUUUUCCAUGUGAUCCUUGUAAUUUAUUUUCCUAGCACAUAAUGUUUCUUAUAUCUUCCCAUUUCCUAAGAUUCACUUCUCCAUAAUGUGGCUUUGGAUUUACUUUUGAUAUCCUCUGUGCUUUAACUUUCAAAACGCAUUUACUGGUUUUCUGCUAAAUAAAUUCAU
rnacentral:lncRNA from 1 species